rnacentral:lncRNA from 1 species
CCUUCACUGGAAAGUACCUCUCAUGGAGAAAAUUCAUCAAGUUGCAGGCUGAGCUGAGCUAAGGAAGCCGAACUCUACUCUCUGAUACCUGGAUGUGUGACCCUUGAACUUAGGCAACAUAGACAGGUCAAGAGGGCGGGCGAUGCUUUUCUGCCUGCUAUGGCAACAGUAUUGGCAAACAAUAGGCCCUCAGUAAACCGACAAGGGGCCGACAGGAUAGCUUACUGGGUAAAGGUGCUUACCGCAGGACAACCUGAGUUUGAUCCUUAUGGCGAAGAGAACCAAGUCCCACACGUUGUCCUCUGACCUCCACAUGUGUGCCGUGACAUGUGCGUCCUACAAUUAAGUAAAUAAAUGAAGAGAUGAA